AGUAAAGUAAGCUAAUUAAAAGCUUUUGGGUUCAUACCCCAAGAAUGGAAGGAUAGAUACCUCCCUUUAUUU
rnacentral:tRNA from 1 species